CGCUGGCGGCAGGCCUAACACAUGCAAGUCGAACGGUAACAGGAAGCAGCUUGCUGCUUCGCUGACGAGUGGCGGACGGGUGAGUAAUGUCUGGGAAGCUGCCUGAUGGAGGGGGAUAACUACUGGAAACGGUAGCUAAUACCGCAUAAUGUCGCAAGACCAAAGAGGGGGACCUUCGGGCCUCUUGCCAUCGGAUGUGCCCAGAUGGGAUUAGCUUGUUGGUGGGGUAACGGCUCACCAAGGCGACGAUCCCUAGCUGGUCUGAGAGGAUGACCAGCCACACUGGAACUGAGACACGGUCCAGACUCCUACGGGAGGCAGCAGUGGGAAUAUUGCACAAUGGGCGCAAGCCUGAUGCAGCCAUGCCGCGUGUAUGAAGAAGGCCUUCGGGUUGUAAAGUACUUUCAGCGGGGAGGAAGGGAGUAAAGUUAAUACCUUUGCUCAUUGACGUUACCCGCAGAAGAAGCACCGGCUAACUCCGUGCCAGCAGCCGCGGUAAUACGGAGGGUGCAAGCGUUAAUCGGAAUUACUGGGCGUAAAGCGCACGCAGGCGGUUUGUUAAGUCAGAUGUGAAAUCCCCGGGCUCAACCUGGGAACUGCAUCUGAUACUGGCAAGCUUGAGUCUCGUAGAGGGGGGUAGAAUUCCAGGUGUAGCGGUGAAAUGCGUAGAGAUCUGGAGGAAUACCGGUGGCGAAGGCGGCCCCCUGGACGAAGACUGACGCUCAGGUGCGAAAGCGUGGGGAGCAAACAGGAUUAGAUACCCUGGUAGUCCACGCCGUAAACGAUGUCGACUUGGAGGUUGUGCCCUUGAGGCGUGGCUUCCGGAGCUAACGCGUUAAGUCGACCGCCUGGGGAGUACGACCGCAAGGUUAAAACUCAAAUGAAUUGGCGGGGGCCCGCACAAGCGGUGGAGCAUGUGGUUUAAUUCGAUGCAACGCGAAGAACCUUACCUGGUCUUGACAUCCACGGAAGUUUUCAGAGAUGAGAAUGUGCCUUCGGGAACCGUGAGACAGGUGCUGCAUGGCUGUCGUCAGCUCGUGUUGUGAAAUGUUGGGUUAAGUCCCGCAACGAGCGCAACCCUUAUCCUUUGUUGCCAGCGGUCCGGCCGGGAACUCAAAGGAGACUGCCAGUGAUAAACUGGAGGAAGGUGGGGAUGACGUCAAGUCAUCAUGGCCCUUACGACCAGGGCUACACACGUGCUACAAUGGCGCAUACAAAGAGAAGCGACCUCGCGAGAGCAAGCGGACCUCAUAAAGUGCGUCGUAGUCCGGAUUGGAGUCUGCAACUCGACUCCAUGAAGUCGGAAUCGCUAGUAAUCGUGGAUCAGAAUGCCACGGUGAAUACGUUCCCGGGCCUUGUACACACCGCCCGUCACACCAUGGGAGUGGGUUGCAAAAGAAGUAGGUAGCUUAACCUUCGGGAGGGCGCUUACCACUUUGUGAUU
rnacentral:rRNA from 1 species